CACCGGCGGCUCGAGUGGUGGCCACUUUUAUUGGGUCUAAAGCGUCCGUAGCCGGCUUGGCAAGUCCCCUGGGAAAUCUGGCGGCUUAACCGUCAGGCGUCCAGAGGAUACUGCCAGGCUUGGGACCGGGAGAGGUGAGAGGUACCUCAGGGGUAGGGGUGAAAUCUUGUGAUCCCUGGAGGACCACCUAUGGCGAAGGCACUCGCCUGGAACGGGUCCGACGGUGAGGGACGAAAGCCAGGGGCGCGAACCGG
rnacentral:rRNA from 1 species